UGCAUAUCCAAAAAGCGGAGGAAAAGAAACCAACAGGGAUUGCCUCAGUAACGGCGAGUGAAGCGGCAACAGCUCAAAUUUGAAAGCUGGCUCCUUUCGGGGCCCGCGUUGUAAUUUGUAGAGGAUGCUUCGGGUGCGGCGCUGGUCUAAGUUCUUUGGAACAAGACGUCAUAGAGGGUGAGAAUCCCGUAUGUGACUGGUUGCCUGCGCCUAUGUGAAGCUCCUUCGACGAGUCGAGUUGUUUGGGAAUGCAGCUCCAAAUGGGUGGUGUACUUCAUCUAAAGCUAAAUAUUGGCCAGAGACCGAUAGCGCACAAGUAGAGUGAUCGAAAGAUGAAAAGCACUUUGGAAAGAGAGUUAAACAGUACGUGAAAUUGUUGAAAGGGAAGCGCUUGCAAUCAGACUUGCGCAGCGUCGAUCAGCCUGGGUUCUCCCUGGUGCACUCGGCGCUGUUCAGGCCAGCAUCAGUUUCGGCGGUUGGAUAAAGGCUUAGGGAACGUGGGUCGCCUCGGCGACCGUUAUAGCCCUAGGUGCAAUGCAGCCUGCUGGGACUGAGGACCGCGCUUCGGCAAGGAUGCUGGCGUAAUGGUUGUAAGCGACCCGUCUUGACCACCGGACC
rnacentral:rRNA from 1 species